ACGAACGCUGGCGGCGUGCUUAACACAUGCAAGUCGAGCGGUAAGGCCCUUUCGGGGGUACACGAGCGGCGAACGGGUGAGUAACACGUGGGUGACCUGCCCUCAGCUCUGGGAUAAGCCUGGGAAACUGGGUCUAAUACUGGAUAUGACUCCACGGUGCAUGUCGUGGGGUGGAAAGCCUUGUGCGGCUGAGGAUGGGCCCGCGGCCUAUCAGCUUGUUGGUGGGGUGANGGCCUACCAAGGCGACGACGGGUAGCCGGCCUGAGAGGGCGACCGGCCACACUGGGACUGAGACACGGCCCAGACUCCUACGGGAGGCAGCAGUGGGGAAUCUUGCGCAAUGGGCGAAAGCCUGACGCAGCGACGCCGCGUGAGGGAUGACGGCCU
rnacentral:rRNA from 1 species